rnacentral:tRNA from 1 species
GCCUGGCUAGCUCAGUUGGUAGAGCGUGGGACCCUUGAUCUCAAGAUCAUGGGUUUGUGCCCCAUGCUGGGUG